CGCGAAUGGCUCAUUACAACAGCUAUAAUUUACUUGAUCUUGACACUAUCCUACUUGGAUAACUGUGGUAAUUCUAGAGCUAAUACAUGCAUUAAAGCUCUGACCUCACGGGAAGAGUGCACUUAUUAGAACAAAACCAAGCGGCUUCGGCUGUUUCUGGUUGACUCAUAGUAACUGAGCUGAUCGCGUGGUCUUGUACCGGCGACGUGUCUUUCAAGUAUCUGCCGUAUCAACUUUCGAUGGUAGUGUAUCUGACUACCAUGGUGAUCACGCGUAACGGAGAAUAAGGGUUCGGCUCCGGAGAGUUCGCCUGAGAAAUCGCGAACACAUCUAAGGAAGGCAGCAGGCGCGAAAAUUACCCACUCUCAGCACGAGGAGGUAGUGACGAAAAAUAACGAGACCGUUCUCUUAUGAGGCCGGUCAUCGGAAUGGGUACAAUUUAAACCCUUUAACGAGUAUCUAUGAGAGGGCAAGUCUGUGCCAGCAGCCGCGGUAAUUCCAGCU
rnacentral:rRNA from 1 species